UGUGGGAGCUGGCUUGCCAGCGAUGAGGCCGGCAUAUCAGGCAUCUAUGUGACUGACAGACCGCCAUCGCUGGCAAGCCAGCUCCCACA
rnacentral:antisense_RNA from 1 species